rnacentral:rRNA from 1 species
GAUAAAACGCUGGCGGCGUGCCUAACACAUGCAAGUCGAACGCGCUCUUCUUUCGGGGGAGAGCGAGUGGCGGACGGGUGAGUAACACGUGGGUACCUCCCUCCUGGUGAGGAAUACCUCCGAGAAAUCGAGACAAUUCCGCAUACGCUCGAGCCAUCGAGCAAAGUCAUUCGUGCGCAAGCAGGAGCGACGCCUGGGGAUGGGGCCUGCGGCUGAUUAGCAGGGUUAGGGGGGGUAAAAGCCUCCCAAGGCAACGAUCAGUAGCUGGUCUGA